CUACUGCACUCACCACUACGAGAGGUGUAAGUGACCCCAGGCUACUGCACUCGCCACUACGAGAGGUGUAAGUGACCCCAGGCUACUGCACUCACCACUACGAGAGGUGUGAGUGACCCCAGGCUGCUGCACUCACCACUACGAGAGGUGUGAGUGACCCUAGGCUACUGCACUCACCACUACAAGAGGUGUGAGUGACCACAGGCUACUGUACUCACAACUGCGAGAGGUGUGAGUGUGACCCCAGGCUACUGCACUUACCACUACGAGAGGUGUGAGUGACCCCAGGCUGCUACACUCACCACUACGAGAGGUGUGAGGGACCCCAGGCCACUGCACUCACCACUACGAGAGGUGUGAGUGACCCCAGACUACUGCACUCCGUUACAAUCACAGUAUUGGAGAGUGUUGCUGAUUGACCUACCCACUCUUGUGAGUUGUCAUUAGUUUAGAAGUGUG